CUCAGAAGAUUGUCAGGUCCUGCUGACUUGUGGCUCAGGCAUCCUUGUACAGCUCCUCUUCCCAUAGUAUAGCAAUGUUCCAUCCACAGAUGUCGUCCAUCAUCAGCAACCAAGAUGAAGACUUACUGAACUACAUGUUGAGCUUGAGGUAAUCAUGGAUGACCUGUGGCCAAAUCCUCUUUACUGUUAACAUAAGGAAGAGCACUCAUGAAGGGAGAAUUAGGACCUUGUCAGGAUACAGAGCAGAGCAUUUCUGACUGUAGGCCAUUAAUGACCAUACACCACAUGUGGAAUUGACUGAGAUAAAUACUGGCAAAGGUC